GACGAAGGGGGCUAGCGUUGUUCGGAAUUACUGGGCGUAAAGCGCGUGUAGGCGGUUGGCCAAGUCGGGUGUGAAAGCCUUGAGCUCAACUCAAGAAAUGCACUCGGUACUGGAUGACUAGAGGACCGGAGAGGAUAGUGGAAUUCCCAGUGUAGUGGUGAAAUACGUAGAGAUUGGGAAGAACACCAGUGGCGAAGGCGGCUAUCUGGACGGUUUCUGACGCUAAGACGCGAAAGCGUGGGGAGCAAACAGG
rnacentral:rRNA from 1 species